AGUGUGGCACAGUGGGUAAGGAACUGCGCUUGUAACCGAAAGGUCGUAGGUUCGAUUCCCGGGUAAGGACACUGCCGUUGUACCCUUGAGCAAGGUACUUAACCUGCAUUGCUUCAGUAUAUAUCCAGCUGUAUAAAUGGAUACAAUGUAAAAAGUUGUGUAAGUCGCUCUGGAUAAGAGCGUCUGCUAAAUGCCUGUAAUGUAAUGUAAUGUAAUGUAUGCCCAAUUUUUCCCCAUAGAAAUGAAUGGAGAAGGUGACGUCAUUCAUAUGCGAACGGUGAAGUUACAGCAUUGGUCGGCUUUGCACACGUGAUGCGGUUUUAACCGGCUUUAUCUACGGGAAAUUUAGAAUCCAGAUGCGGUGCAUAUCUCCAUUUUCAUCGUAAUUACAGAAAACACACAUUCGUAAAUUUCAAAUGAUUUAUACCACAAUGUAGAUAAAACCUUGACGAAGACGUACAUGCACGGAUUGUGUUGUUCAAACGAGGUUUCCUGGCGACUUAGCCACCAGAAUGGAUAUAGCUGAAUGCGGAAGUGAACACG